GAUUAACGCUGGCGGCGUGCAUAACACAUGCAAGUCGAACGAUGAAACUUAAAUGAUUUCUUCGGAAUGAACUUAAGUGGAUUAGUGGCGGACGGGUGAGUAACGCGUGAGUAACCUGCCUUACACAAGGGGAUAGCCGUUGGAAACGACGAAUAAUACCCUAUGAUGUUUCUAUCUCGCAUGAGAUAUUAACCAAAGUGUUAGCGGUGUAAGAUGGACUUGCGUCUGAUUAGCUAGUUGGUGAGAAAAAAGCCCACCAAGGCAACGAUCAGUAGCCGGCUUGAGAGAGUGUACGGCCACAUUGGGACUGAGACACGGCCCAGACUCCUACGGGAGGCAGCAGUGGGGAAUUUUGCACAAUGGGGGAAACCCUGAUGCAGCGACGCCGCGUGAUUUAGAAGGCCUUCGGGUUGUAAAAAUCUUUUGUAUAGGAAGAAAAUGACAGUACUAUACGAAUAAGGGCCGGCUAAUUACGUG
rnacentral:rRNA from 1 species